UACGGAGGAUGCGAGCGUUAUCCGGAUUUAUUGGGUUUAAAGGGUGCGUAGGCGGCGAGUUAAGUCAGCGGUAAAAGCCCGGGGCUCAACCCCGGCCCGCCGUUGAAACUGGCUGGCUUGAGUUGGGGAAAGGCAGGCGGAAUGCGCGGUGUAGCGGUGAAAUGCAUAGAUAUAUGGAAGAACACCAGUGGCGAAGGCGGCUCUCUGGUCUGCAACUGACGCUGAGGCUCGAAAGCAUGGGUAGCGAACAGG
rnacentral:rRNA from 1 species